rnacentral:rRNA from 1 species
CUUGUUAGGUGACUGCGUACCUUUUGUAUAAUGGGUCAGCGACUUAUAUUCAGUGGCAAGCUUAACCGUAUAGGGUAGGCGUAGCGAAAGCGAGUCUUAAUAGGGCGUUUAGUCGCUGGGUAUAGACCCGAAACCGGGCGAUCUAUCCAUGAGCAGGUUGAAGGUUAGGUAACACUGACUGGAGGACCGAACCCACUCCCGUUGAAAAGGUAGGGGAUGACUUGUGGAUCGGAGUGAAAGGCUAAUCAAGCUCGGAGAUAGCUGGUUCUCCUCGAAAGCUA